rnacentral:pre_miRNA from 1 species
AAUAAAUUUAUUUGUGGGUUUUUGUGUUCAACGUUUAACAGUCAUCUUAUUUGAAAUUUUCUAAGAUUAGUAUUUUUUAAUUAGAUGAUAAAACAUGGAUAGUACUUUAUACAUGACUUAUUUUUUAAACUUUUUUUCAUAAAUUUUUAAAUAAAACGGACGGUUAAAUGUUGGGCACACUGAUUGAUUGCAG